GAUGAACGCUGGCGGCGUGCCUAAUACAUGCAAGUCGAGCGAACAGACGAGGAGCUUGCUCCUUUGACGUUAGCGGCGGACGGGUGAGUAACACGUGGAUAACCUACCUAUAAGACUGGGAUAACUUCGGGAAACCGGAGCUAAUACCGGAUAACAUGUUGAACCGCAUGGUUCAACAGUGAAAGACGGUCUUGCUGUCACUUAUAGAUGGUUCCGCGCCGCAUUAGCUAGUUGGUAAGGUAACGGCUUACCAAGGCAACGAUGCGUAGCCGACCUGAGAGGGUGAUCGGCCACACUGGAACUGAGACACGGUCCAGACUCCUACGGGAGGCAGCAGUAGGGAAUCUUCCGCAAUGGGCGAAAGCCUGACGGAGCAACGCCGCGUGAGUGAAGAAGGUCUUCGGAUCGUAAAACUCUGUUAUUAGGGAAGAACAAAUGUGUAAGUAACUAUGCACGUCUUGACGGUACCUAAUCAGAAAGCCACGGCUAACUACGUG
rnacentral:rRNA from 1 species